rnacentral:lncRNA from 1 species
UUGGUGUCAAAUUCUAUUAGUCCUCCAAGAUCAGGUUUUAAGCAAUGUGGCUGAUUAUACUUCCCUAAGUUUUUGUGUAUUGUAAUAUUUCCUUAUGUUUAAAGCAGUUGUAUUUUGGGAGACAACAAAUAAAUGUUUUCUCCUGUUUAUUUCUUUCCACAGUCUUCUGUCUCCCUUCAUGCACAUACAGAUGAAUUCUCUGUAGUUUCUCCAGGGGGUGAUAACAGCAAGGCUCCUUCCCUCUGGAAACACAUGCAACUUUGUUGGAGUAAUAAAAACACCGAAAAGGAGAACCAGCAGCAGAUGCAGCUCUGCGAUGAAGUGAGAAUUAAGUGGCAUGCCAUCCUGCUGCUGCUCCCUCAUCACUGGCAGGAGUUCUGCAUGGACCACAGAUGGCUCUUCAUUCUGCAGGCAGGAGAGCCCCAUGAACAAAU